UGGAUCCAGACUUUGAUUCUGGCUCAGGAUGAACGCUAGCUACAGGCUUAACACAUGCAAGUCGAGGGGAAACGACAUCGAAAGCUUGCUUUUGAUGGGCGUCGACCGGCGCACGGGUGAGUAACGCGUAUCCAACCUGCCCACCACUUGGGGAUAACCUUGCGAAAGUAAGACUAAUACCCAAUGGCGUCUCUAGAAGACAUCUGAAAGAGAUUAAAGAUUUAUCGGUGAUGGAUGGGGAUGCGUCUGAUUAGCUUGUUGGCGGGGUAACGGCCCACCAAGGCUACGAUCAGUAGGGGUUCUGAGAGGAAGGUCCCCCACAUUGGAACUGAGACACGGUCCAAACUCCUACGGGAGGCAGCAGUGAGGAAUAUUGGUCAAUGGACGAGAGUCUGAACCAGCCAAGUAGCGUGCAGGAUGACGGCCCUAUGGGUUGUAAACUGCUUUUAUAAGGGAAUAAAGUGAGUCUCGUGAGACUUUUUGCAUGUACCUUAUGAAUAAGGACCGGCUAAUUCCGUGCCAGCAGCCGCGGUAAUACGGAAGGUCCGGGCGUUAUCCGGAUUUAUUGGGUUUAAAGGGAGCGUAGGCCGGAGAUUAAGCGUGUUGUGAAAUGUAGAUGCUCAACAUCUGCACUGCAGCGCGAACUGGUUUCCUUGAGUACGCACAAAGUGGGCGGAAUUCGUGGUGUAGCGGUGAAAUGCUUAGAUAUCACGAAGAACUCCGACUGCGAAGGCAGCUCACUGGAGCGCAACUGACGCUGAAGCUCGAAAGUGCGGGUAUCGAACAGGAUUAGAUACCCUGGUAGUCCGCACGGUAAACGAUGGAUGCCCGCUGUUGGUCUGAAUAGGUCAGCGGCCAAGCGAAAGCAUUAAGCAUCCCACCUGGGGAGUACGCCGGCAACGGUGCAACUCAAAGGAAUUGACGGA
rnacentral:rRNA from 2 species